rnacentral:rRNA from 1 species
UACGUAGGCAGCGAGCGUUGUUCGGAGUUACUGGGCGUAAAGAGUGCGUAGGCGGUCCUGUAAGUUUGGUGUGAAAUCUCCCGGCUCAACUGGGAGGGUGCGCCGAAGACUGCAGGGCUUGAGUAUGGGAGAGGUAAGCGGAAUUCCUGGUGUAGCGGUGAAAUGCGCAGAUAUCAGGAGGAACACCGGUGGCGAAGGCGGUUCUCCGGGCAUUACCUGACGCUGAGGAGCGAAAGUGUGGGGAGCGAACAGG